GUGAAUCAUCGAAUUUUUGAACGCAAAUUGCGCUUCCUGGCAUCCCGGGAAGUAUGCCUGUUUGAGGGUCAGUAUUAACAAAAAAUCGGUUUGGUUGCAAAGUGUGACGUUUCCGGAGUUUGGGCUAUCUUAACGUCUUGGGUUAAGAGGCUUAAAAUUGACCUUUUUUGCGCAUUUUUGGACGUACAUGAAUUUUGUUUUUAUUCGGUAAUUCUUAAUGCCAAAA
rnacentral:misc_RNA from 1 species